CAUAAUGUUAAUGACUCUCUAUUUGUUGCAGGUCUAUUGGUUUACAUUUAUUGUGAGGCUCUUGAUAAAACUGAUUAUGAAAGGCGGAGAAGUUGAAGACACUAGAGAGUUCAGUGAAAAUGAAUCUAAAAAGAAUUAGUUUUCUAUUACUGUAAUAAUUUCAGUGGUUUUUCAUCUUCCGUUUUAGAUGCCAUUUUCAUGCA